UAUAGGUUGUGGUGGUCGUGGCCGAGUGGUUAAGGCGUUGGACUGCUACUUUAUUGUUGUUAUCCAAUGGGGUUUCCCCGCCAGAGUUCGAAUCUCUGCGACCACGGAUA
rnacentral:tRNA from 1 species